UUCCUCGCAACAGAUGAAACCCUAGUGAAAUCUCUUGAAUCUGUUCAAUAAUUGAACGCUAGUGAGUGUUUUUCAAUCUUCAAUCAUCGAACCCUAAUGAAUCGAUGAAACCAUAGUAAGGGUUUUUUAAUUUGUUUUUUCGAUUUUUAGGGUUUCUUUUGGUUUUCAAUUUUCAGGUGAGAGUAGUGGACCUUUCAUUUUCUCUGCAAAAUCUCGUCAGGAGAAAGCUAGGGUUUCAAAAAUCAAAUCAAUCCUUAGUUUAGAUUAGCUCAAGAUUUAGAAUCGUCCAUACAUGUUAUGUAAUGAGUUUGAUUUAGAGUUCAUCCUUGAAUCGGUGAAGAAAACAAUUAUGGAUUUUUUCUUAGGGUGUUUUCGUGUUAAAGAUGAGAACCAAAAUCAUCAUAUCAUCUCUGAUUCUUCCAACAAAGUCAGAAAUCGCCUUUACAUAUCGGAUUUUUUCAUUUUUGUUUUCUUAUUUUUUUGAGAUUGUGAGUAAAUUUUUUGUUUAAUUGCAGAAAAAUCCUUUGGUAUCUAGAAAUCGUCUAGCAGCGUUACUCUUAUCUGAAUCUCAAGAUAGAAUAGGUGUGGGUUGCAGCUGUAAUGAUGGAGGUGGAUUGGUAGUUUGUCCUAUUCUGUUAUGAAGAAGAUGAAGUGUUGAUUUGGGUUGCAAUGAAUUAUGUGGUAGAUGAGGAUGAUUAUGAGUUACUGCGGGAUAAUAAUGUGGGAUUUCACCGUCCUGCACCAUGCCAGGUGAUCCUUCUAUAGUUGGAAAAGAAACGGGCAAAGGAGAAUUCUAUAUGUGGUUCGAGUGAGGGUGUCCUAGUAACUUUCAAGCUGAGAGCACUUUUUUUUGGGAGUUGUUUUCUUUCAAUACUUGUCAGGAUGUGGUGCUUACAUCGCCUGCAAGCAAGAGAUGAUGCAGCCUAAUGGAGUGUUGUACAUACUAGUAUGUAUCUCAAAGACAGAUAUUUCAUUCAAGCAUGAAUUAGUGGAAUGGCCUGACUGAUGAGUUAGUUAAUCGCCUUUUCAUGGGUUCAUCUGGACUCAGUUUCCUUCAAAUUUGAUGAAUGCAUUAUUGCUUGGGGAUGCAAUACAUGAUCUUCCUGAAAAAGUCAGCCGAGAAGACACCUUCUUCAACUGCGUGGCAUGUUGUUUCAAUAGGGACCAUGUUUACUGCCUACUACAAACCAAGGAAGUAAUUAGGUGUGGAAGUGUUCGCGCGAAGUUGUAGCUGGGAUUAGGUAUACAGCUUUCUUAGUUACAGAAUAUGUUCAUGAUCUUUGUACUACACAGAAUUUGUAUUCCCUUAGGACAUAGGAAUGAACUUACAGUGAUAUAAGUGAGAAUGAACUGAACUUAGGAAGUUUCUAAGCAGAAAUUUUUUGGUACUUAGAAUUUGUUUUCUUUUUUUGAUACGA